CGGCCGGUUCCGGUCUGUGUGUUUAUCGCGCUGGCCAGCUGUCGUUGAUGCACUUUAAACAUGAAUCAAGACCGCAAACAUUUAAAAACUGUUCAUUUUUAUAGGCAGGAGAAACCUACGCCGAGCACUGCUGUGUCCCCCACUGUAAAGCGUCAGCCAAAUCCAAAGGGGUAUUACGUUUCCAUGGCUUCCUGAGCCAAACUGACGUGAGGAGUCAAUGGAUUGUAAACAUACGCCGGGAUAAAUAUGUCAUCACCACUCACUCUAAGAUCUGUAGCAGACACUUUAGUUCUGACAAGAUGAUUGAGCCAACUACUCUUCAGGUUCGAAGGAGACUUACAAAAGGUGCCGUAUGUCCCAUCACUCACGGGGUCGCCGAGCGGCGUUAUUACGUAACUAGAUGGAUCGAUUUGAUUGGCCCGGGCGUCAGUCACUCAGUCCGGUGACUGUUCAAGUCAGGCCAGGAGGACCAUCAGGCCACCGGGAAACGUCCCGGUGCUCCCGACGGCCAAUCCGCCACUGGCUGCAACAUCUGGCUGAGUUGUUUGUCUGUUUACUUUAUAUUAACAACUUAACAUGGUGUCAGAAGUAAAAGGAAAAACACUAACAUCGGUAUUGCAAACAUGGAAGGACUUAAGCCGCCCGCUGGACUUGAUCUACUGCACGGUAACCUGUCAGAAAACUGGAGGAGAUUUCGGCAGAGCUUUGAGCUGUAUUUAACAGCUGCUGGGGGCGCUAGCAAGUCAGCUAAGGUACAGUCCUCACUAUUUCUUCAUAUAGCCGGCGAAGAGGCAGUGGAAGUGUACAAUACCCUCACGUUUGACGAGGAGGAUGAUAGGCUUAAACUGGCGAUAAUUCUGGAAAAAUUUGAAGAAUACUGCAACCCCAGAAAGAAUAUAACCUAUGAAAGGUACACAUUUUUCACGUGUGUGCAAGGGGACAUGUCAUUUAACCAAUACCUUACGGAGUUAAAACUAAAGGCAAAGUCAUGUGAAUUCGCACAGUUAAGAGAGUCCCUUAAAAGAGAUCGAGUUGUCUGUGGAAUCACGUCUGAUACGUUGAGAGAGCGAUUGUUACGUGAAGUUGACAUUUCUCUUGAAAAGGCAGCGCAGCUGUGCCUCGCGGCUGAAAUAACAAAAGUACAAAUAAAACAAAUGCAUGAAGAGGAUCACAAUGCGCAAUCCUUUGCAAGUGAAAGCAAGGACAUAGAUGCAGUGAGGCACAAGCAGACACGCGAUAAAGAAUACCGAAAUAAAACCCAAGUAAGCAUGCAAGACAAGGGUCGCACGUUUUAUUGCACAAGAUGUGGAACUGAGCAUGUAUCACGAAAAUGCCCGGCUUUUGGCAAACAAUGUAAGAACUGUGAGAAAAUGAACCACUUUGCCAAGGUGUGUAGGUCGAUGAAGACAGUGUACUCAGUGGCCUGGAAUGUCGGAAAAAAUCACAGAGAUGGUGAACAGGUGUGACGUGUGCAGGACAUAUCAGAAACGUCAAACUAAAGAGCCACUACAACCACACAGUGUUCCAGAAAGACCCUGGCAGAAGAUAGGUGUUGACCUAUUCACCUUUAGCCAGCAGGAGUAUUUACUACUGGUGGAUUACUAUUCUAAGUUCAUAGAGGUGGAGUGGUUGAAGUCAGACACAAGAAGUGCAACAAUCAUCACACAUCUGAAGUCACAGUUCGCCAGACAUGGCAUUCCUGAAAUAGUGAUCUCAGAUAACGGACCACAGUUCAGCUCUCGUGAGUUCCAAGCCUUUGCAAAAGAGUGGGAGUUCAGUCACCAAACUUCAAGCCCCUACCAUGCGCAGUCUAAUGGACUGGCAGAAAGAGGAAUACAGACUAUCAAACUCAUGCUUAAAAAAUCGAAAGCUGAUGGAAAAGAUCCAUAUCUGUCGUUGCUGAGUCUGAGGAGUACACCUCUGGAGGAUGUCGGAGUGUCACCAGCCCAGCUGUUGAUGGGUCGACGUUUGAGAACAAGACUUCCGACGACAUCCCAGAUGCUGAAACCUCAAAUGGUCACAAGCACAGUACAACAGGUGUUUGAUACAAGACAACAGAAACAGAAAGAAUAUUUCGAUCAAGGAGCCAGAGCACUCCAGAAACUUGAGGUUGGCGACAAUGUCAGAAUCUGGCAGGAAGGAUAAUGGAAUCCAGCCCAGGUAACGGGACUUUCUGACCAGCCAAGAUCAUAUGUAAUACAGACACCUGGGGGACAAGUAUACAGAAGAAACAGAAAGUAUCUGAUGCAGUCCAAGGAACUGAGUAACACACUAAAGGACACCAACAAACAAGAUGUGACUCAACAGGAUGUGCAUGACAGUACAGAGAAAAAGCAUGAAAUGGACAUUCAAAAGAAAACAUCAGGAAGUAAUUCUAGUCCUACAAAGCUUUCAAGUCUACCUGUUACAACAGCAAGUGGACGAAUUGUCUCAAAGACAAGAAGAUUCAUCGAAGAGUACUAGGAUUUUUUUUUCAUGUUUGAGCAGUUGUUUAGCUCAAUGGACAAAAAAAAAAAAAAAAAGGAAAAUAAAGAGGAUGUCAUGAUAUGUAUAAAUGCAGAUCAUGUGUAAGCCACUGGAGGCGCUAGAGUUGAAUAAACUACCACAAGAUGGCUGCAACAUC